rnacentral:snRNA from 1 species
GUAAUCAUUCCAGUAUCUCAUACUGAAACUGGAAAGAUACGGAGAAGAUUAGGAUGAGUCCUGCGCAAGGAUGAGUUCCUCGGUAGUGUAAUGGUUAGCAUCACU